GGGAUGGUGGUGGAAUUGGUAGACACGCUAGCUUGAGGUGCUAGUGGGCGAAAGCUUGUGUGGGUUCGAGUCCCAUCUGUCCCA
rfam:Spirochaetes bacterium GWB1_27_13 gwb1_scaffold_1708, whole genome shotgun sequence.